rnacentral:rRNA from 1 species
AACGAACGCUGGCGGCAGGCUUAACACAUGCAAGUCGAACGCCCCGCAAGGGGAGUGGCAGACGGGUGAGUAACGUGUGGGAACAUACCCUUUUCUACGGAAUAGCUCUGGGAAACUGGAAUUAAUACCGUAUACGCCCUACGGGGGAAAGAUUUAUCGGGGAAGGAUUGGCCCGCGUUGGAUUAGCUAGUUGGUGGGGUAAAGGCCUACCAAGGCGACGAUCCAUAGCUGGUCUGAGAGGAUGAUCAGCCACAUUGGGACUGAGACACGGCCCAAACUCCUACGGGAGGCAGCAGUGGGGAAUAUUGGACAAUGGGCGCAAGCCUGAUCCAGCCAUGCCGCGUGAGUGAUGAAGGCCUUAGGGUUGUAAAGCUCUUUCACCGAUGAAGAUAAUGACGGUAGUCGGAGAAGAAGCCCCGGCUAACUUCGUG